GGUCAAGUGAAUAAGUGCAUCAGGCGGAUGCCUUGGCGAUGAUAGGCGACGAAGGACGUGUAAGCCUGCGAAAAGCGCGGGGGAGCUGGCAAUAAAGCUAUGAUUCCGCGAUGUCCGAAUGGGGAAACCCACUGCAUUCUGUGCAGUAUCCUAAGUUGAAUACAUAGGCUUAGAGAAGCGAACCCGGAGAACUGAACCAUCUAAGUACCCGGAGGAAAAGAAAUCAACCGAGAUUCCGCAAGUAGUGGCGAGCGAACGCGGAGGAGCCUGUACGUAAUAACUGUCGAGAUAGAAGAACAAGCUGGGAAGCUUGACCAUAGCGGGUGACAGUCCCGUAUUCGAAAUCUCAACAGCGGUACUAAGCGUACGAAAAGUAGGGCGGGACACGUGAAAUCCUGUCUGAAUAUGGGGGGACCAUCCUCCAAGGCUAAAUACUCAUCAUCGACCGAUAGUGAACCAGUACCGUGAGGGAAAGGCGAAAAGAACCCCGGGAGGGGAGUGAAACAGAACCUGAAACCUGAUGCAUACAAACAGUGGGAGCGCCCUAGUGGUGUGACUGCGUACCUUUUGUAUAAUGGGUCAACGACUUACAUUCAGUAGCGAGCUUAACCGGAUAGGGGAGGCGUAGGGAAACCGAGUCUUAAUAGGGCGAUGAGUUGCUGGGUGUAGACCCGAAACCGAGUGAUCUAUCCAUGGUCAGGUUGAAGGUGCCGUAACAGGUACUGGAGGACCGAACCCACGCAUGUUGCAAAAUGCGGGGAUGAGCUGUGGGUAGGGGUGAAAGGCUAAACAAACUCGGAGAUAGCUGGUUCUCCCCGAAAACUAUUUAGGUAGUGCCUCGAGCAAGACACUGAUGGGGGUAAAGCACUGUUAUGGCUAGGGGGUUAUUGCAACUUACCAACCCAUGGCAAACUCAGAAUACCAUCAAGUGGUUCCUCGGGAGACAGACAGCGGGUGCUAACGUCUGUUGUCAAGAGGGAAACAACCCAGACCGCCGGCUAAGGUCCCAAAUGAUAGAUUAAGUGGUAAACGAAGUGGGAAGGCACAGACAGCCAGGAUGUUGGCUUAGAAGCAGCCAUCAUUUAAAGAAAGCGUAAUAGCUCACUGGUCGAGUCGUCCUGCGCGGAAGAUGUAACGGGGCUCAAAUCUAUAACCGAAGCUGCGGAUGCCGGUUUACCGGCAUGGUAGGGGAGCGUUCUGUAGGCUGAUGAAGGUGCAUUGUAAAGUGUGCUGGAGGUAUCAGAAGUGCGAAUGUUGACAUGAGUAGCGAUAAAGCGGGUGAAAAGCCCGCUCGCCGAAAGCCCAAGGUUUCCUACGCAACGUUCAUCGGCGUAGGGUAAGUCGGCCCCUAAGGCGAGGCAGAAAUGCGUAGUCGAUGGGAAACAGGUUAAUAUUCCUGUACUUGAUUCAAAUGCGAUGUGGGGACGGAGAAGGUUAGGUUGGCAAGCUGUUGGAAUAGCUUGUUUAAGCCGGUAGGUGGAAGACUUAGGCAAAUCCGGGUUUUCUUAACACCGAGAAGUGAUGACGAGUGUCUACGGACACGAAGCAACCGAUACCACGCUUCCAGGAAAAGCCACUAAGCUUCAGUUUGAAUCGAACCGUACCGCAAACCGACACAGGUGGGCAGGAUGAGAAUUCUAAGGCGCUUGAGAGAACUCGGGAGAAGGAACUCGGCAAAUUGAUACCGUAACUUCGGGAGAAGGUAUGCCCUCUAAGGUUAAGGACUUGCUCCGUAAGCCCCGGAGGGUCGCAGAGAAUAGGUGGCUGCGACUGUUUAUUAAAAACACAGCACUCUGCCAACACGAAAGUGGACGUAUAGGGUGUGACGCCUGCCCGGUGCCGGAAGGUUAAUUGAAGAUGUGCAAGCAUCGGAUCGAAGCCCCGGUAAACGGCGGCCGUAACUAUAACGGUCCUAAGGUAGCGAAAUUCCUUGUCGGGUAAGUUCCGACCCGCACGAAUGGCGUAACGAUGGCCACACUGUCUCCUCCCGAGACUCAGCGAAGUUGAAGUGGUUGUGAAGAUGCAAUCUACCCGCUGCUAGACGGAAAGACCCCGUGAACCUUUACUGUAGCUUUGCAUUGGACUUUGAAGUCACUUGUGUAGGAUAGGUGGGAGGCUUGGAAGCAGAGACGCCAGUCUCUGUGGAGUCGUCCUUGAAAUACCACCCUGGUGUCUUUGAGGUUCUAACCCAGACCCGUCAUCCGGGUCGGGGACCGUGCAUGGUAGGCAGUUUGACUGGGGCGGUCUCCUCCCAAAGCGUAACGGAGGAGUUCGAAGGUUACCUAGGUCCGGUCGGAAAUCGGACUGAUAGUGCAAUGGCAAAAGGUAGCUUAACUGCGAGACCGACAAGUCGGGCAGGUGCGAAAGCAGGACAUAGUGAUCCGGUGGUUCUGUAUGGAAGGGCCAUCGCUCAACGGAUAAAAGGUACUCCGGGGAUAACAGGCUGAUUCCGCCCAAGAGUUCAUAUCGACGGCGGAGUUUGGCACCUCGAUGUCGGCUCAUCACAUCCUGGGGCUGUAGUCGGUCCCAAGGGUAUGGCUGUUCGCCAUUUAAAGUGGUACGUGAGCUGGGUUUAAAACGUCGUGAGACAGUUUGGUCCCUAUCUGCAGUGGGCGUUGGAAGUUUGACGGGGGCUGCUCCUAGUACGAGAGGACCGGAGUGGACGAACCUCUGGUGUACCGGUUGUAACGCCAGUUGCAUAGCCGGGUAGCUAAGUUCGGAAGAGAUAAGCGCUGAAAGCAUCUAAGCGCGAAACUCGCCUGAAGAUGAGACUUCCCUUGCGGUUUAACCGCACUAAAGGGUCGUUCGAGACCAGGACGUUGAUAGGUGGGGUGUGGAAGCGCGGUAACGCGUGAAGCUAACCCAUACUAAUUGCCCGUGAGGCUUGACUCU
rnacentral:rRNA from 1 species